rnacentral:lncRNA from 1 species
ACCCUUUUCCUGGGAUGUGCCUGGGGGAAUAGCAGGAUCUGUGCCCAUCAUGCCUGCCUGCAUGGCUCUGUGUCUCUGUGAUGUCCACGGAAGAUGACAGCAGUUUCUGAGCAUUGAGAAUCAAUGACAUCCUGUUCAAAGAGCACGUGGGUUCCAGGAAGAUGUGAGCAUUUAGACAACCCGUCCUGGAGCCCCAAGUCAUGACGGGCCAGUUGCGAAACAAAACACACGAGGAGCCCCUGUGCUUCUUGCCCGCCAUUUGUGGGCAGCAAUUCCCCAAGCAGGGAGCAUGCGUCCACUUGCUGUGACUGUGCUGUGCUCACCACUGGGGACAAAAGACUCCCUGAAUGGGGACACAGAGCUGGUGCUGGCCCCGAGGUGGGGACGGUCAGCGAAGAGCAGAGUCAGCCAGGGAGGGAGAGCGGGAGAAAUCCUGAAGGAGUUAACUCUUCUCGCAGUCAUGGUGCCCCAUUCUAUGGGCAGCAUUGGCUGGAAGUGCCAGGAAAGGUUAGUGUCUGCCUUCACUGGAGUCACCCACUUCUUUUAGCUGAGAGGAUGCUGGGUUUUGACGCGCUGCGUUGUAUAAUCAGUAAUGGGUUGUUAAUGUUCUGUAGGCUGUUUCGUUUAUCCUUGGAUAAACAUUAACCGAGUGUAGUUACAUACAUUAAUACAUGACUGUACCAUCACACACAUGUUCUCAUGGGUGUGGACACCUCACUCCAUCUGUCUCAUGUCUACGUUUUAAAUAUUUAACAAGGAGAACGCAAUGUUAUGGGAAAGCAGCUCCAGAUCUCGACACUUUGGCCUGAGGAAAUCGUUUUGCCUUCUUAUGUUUAGCUUCCUGCUUUUAUUUUUAGCAACAAUAAACACACACAG